GAAUUUUAUAUAAAUUUAGAUUUUUAGUUGGUUGUAAGUUAGAUUUGAAUUUAUAUUUGGUUGGGAGGAUGACUAAAUUUAAUGAACUUUAGUUGUAUGAAUACAUUUAUAUAUGGGAUAGGGCAGAUGAAUGAUCAUUAGAAUAUUUAAGAAUUAAUUACCUCAGGGAUAACAGCGUAAUAUUUUUAGAGAGAUCAUAUUAAUAAAAAUGAUUGC
rnacentral:rRNA from 1 species